GACGAACGCUGGCGGCGUGCUUAACACAUGCAAGUCGAACGGUAAGGCCCUUUCGUGGGGACACGCUCGGCGAACGGGUGGGUAAGACGCGCGUGAUUUGCCCUGCACUUUCUGAUAAACCAGUGAAACUGGGUGUAAUACCUGCUAGGACUACGCGACGGCUGCCUGGUGGUGGAAAGCUUGUGUGGGCGGGGAUGGGCGCGCGGCCUAUCAGCUUGUUGGUGGGGGGGUGGCCUACCAAGGCGACGACGGGUAGCCGGCCUGAGAGGGUGUCCGGCCACACUGGGACUGAGAUACGGACCAGACUCCUACGGGAGGCAGCAGUGGGGAAUAUUGCACAAUGGGCGAAAGCCUGAUGCAGCAACGCCGCGUGCGGGAUGACGGCCUUCGGGUUGUAAACCGCUUUCAGCAGAGACGAAGCGUAAGUGACGGUAUGUGCAGAAGAAGCACCGGCCAACUACGUG
rnacentral:rRNA from 1 species